rnacentral:rRNA from 1 species
GAUGAACGCUGGCGGCGUGCCUAAUACAUGCAAGUCGAGCGAACGGACGAGAAGCUUGCUUUUCUGAUGUUAGCGGCGACGGGUGAGUAACACGUGGAUAACCUACCUAUAAGACUGGGAUAACUUCGGGAAACCGGAGCUAAUACCGGAUAAUAUUUUGAACCGCAUGGUUCAAAAGUGAAAGACGGUCUUGCUGUCACUUAUAGAUGGAUCCGCGCUGCAUUAGCUAGUUGGUAAGGUAACGGCUUACCAAGGCAACGAUGCAUAGCCGACCUGAGAGGGUGAUCGGCCACACUGGAACUGAGACACGGUCCAGACUCCUACGGGAGGCAGCAGUAGGGAAUCUUCCGCAAUGGGCGAAAGCCUGACGGAGCAACGCCGCGUGAGUGAUGAAGGUCUUCGGAUCGUAAAACUCUGUUAUUAGGGAAGAACAUAUGUGUAAGUAACUGUGCACAUCUUGACGGUACCUAAUCAGAAAGCCACGGCUAACUACGUG